UUUGAACUAGUUUAUGAGAGGUGUGAACUUGCACAACACUGUUGGGCGGUCAUGAGACCAGUGGCACUGUCCUUCCAAACAGAGAGGGAGUGAAAUCUCUCAGUGGCCUGUGCCGGCAGGAAGUACAGGCCAAUGGCAGGAGGCGGGACAAGGCAUUGGCCUGUGGCAGGAGGCGGGACAAGUCAGUGAGCCGCCAAUCAGCAUCAUCGACUGUUGACAGACAAUUGCACGUGCGUUCUACGUGAUCGGUCAUUGCCAACUCUCUCAUUGCUGGAUGAAAGUCUCCGUGCGGUUUAAAGUUUAAAGUCGCUCCAGGGUUUUCAUUAUGUCAGAUACCUCACCCCUCACUCCUGAAAUGGUAGUAGGGCAACCCACUCCAGAAGUUGUCAGGAGUUUUGUUCCGGACAAAUCUAGGUGGAGCAAGCCACUGAGUUUGUCCCAGCAUGAACAGGUGCUGAAUUUUGGGUUUCCAGCUUCUACAAAGAAUAGCUAGUCAACAGGUAGCAAAGAUCUUUUUAACAGUUUUGGAACACUCAAGUCAGCAUAUUUUGCUCACAUCCACACUGAUACCUAAAAUACUUUUUAGAACAUUGACAUCUUUGCUGCUAAUUGCCAUGUGACUCUCACCUGGUUGCCCCCAUAUUCAGCAGACCCCAUGGAUCACCUCCCUGUUGAUGUGAAAAUGCAGGACGCUGUGCUCCUUCCAUCAUGGAAACCAGGUCAUUCGAUGAUAUGUAGAACUUUCUCAGGAGAUCAGUGAGGGUCCCUGGACAGAGUUUUCAUGUGACAACCUUGAGGGCAUUCCCAAGCAGAGAGGCUCUAAUAGUUGUGGGGUGUUCAUCCUAAUGUAUGCUGCCUACAUCGUCUUUGGCCUCUCUUUUGACUUCACGGAGGUGUGUUUUUCAAACGCUUUUUAACAUUUCAUCUUAUAAGGUCUAUGUUUCAAUUAAAAUGUGUGCUUUUCCACAAACUAGUCGGACAUGAACAUUGCAAGGCGAUGGUGGUCAAUUCUGUUGCUGGACAACUUUCCACCAAGAACACUCCUAUUAACUAGGGUUUUUCCAACUGUAUUUAACUCUUAUGAAAAACUUGGACAUUUGAACCCUUCUAUAUGUUGCCAUCCAUAAGAUUUACUUAUGUCAAACCUCUGCUGAAGGCUGUCAUCUGGCAAAAGCAGAAAAAGGAGGCCACAGACAACCAACACAGCAGGACAGUGUGCGGUGGAGGCCCUGACUGUGACUGUCCCCCCCUCCUUGUAAAAGACCAAGUGUGGAGACCACAAACAUCAUGUCAGACCUGACAACUGCAGUGGAGUGGACAAGGCGCCAUAUGACGCGGUUCCAGGGACGUGUCUCCUUUCCCACAAUUAUUCAUAUGACAGAGGCGGAAAAAGAGGAUGCACUGCGCAAGCUGAAAACCGCAGAUGACCUGAUGACCCAUGACCUGGAGACUAAAGACCCCUUCUUGUUCAUUUUCACACACCAAGAGGACAUGGAGGUGUUUCUCCAAAAUUGUGUGGGUCAACAGCACCUCCACGUAAAUGCUAUGUUCGAUGGUGAACUUUAGUGCCUGUUAUUCUUAAGUUGUAUUUUAAAAUGUUAUGCGUUUCUGUGCAUCAAUGUUUCUUGUUUUGAUGUACCUUUGUUUACUUUAUAAAAACUGCCAUAUGUUUGUGUGCCGUGUGUGUGUAAUAUGUAGUUUUUUUGAUAAAGCAUUCUUUUUUUAUUAUUGUUUCGUCCUGAUUAAAUGUUCUUAUGAUAAAAA